CCCAAAUCAACUCAAAGGUUUAUUUGAUACACAGCAGUUUAUAUAGAUGAAAAAAGGUUCGUGUGUCAGCUUUCCCAGUUCAAACCGGUACAGACCAAAUAAGGAAACGUCUUCCUGCCUUGUGAACAAAGAAGUAUCCUGUGUGUAGUUUAUCAGCUCAGCUACAAUUUAUGAUCAUCCCAGCAAAAUACACUCCUAGACAUAAAAUACAGAGUUCUUUCAUUAGUGAAUUCUGAAACGAACCACCUAGCCUUUAACGAGCCUUUUCCAGGAGAUAAGGAAAAGGGAGGAUGGGAGUAAAGAAGUGGUCUCAUCUCUGUGGUGUUUUCGACCUUGAGGUACCAGCUUGUGAGUCUCACAUUAAUUCUUGGGUCACAGAGAAAGAGAAAAACAACUAGUAGAUGGGCCUUAUUGAGCAACUCUUUUCUGUAUAAAACAAUCUUCUGUAAAUGCUAACCGUGGUACUAAAAUACCUAACAGUUCCCCUCUUUUAUUAUUUUUUAAAAAUAAUAACUCAAAUAGAAAGGAAAAAUCACAAAUGUAAUAACAUAAUAUAAAAAGCAAAUCAUAAAAUGUAAUAGUUCACAACCUAAUGUUCAAUAUACACAUCAGGAACAUCAUUGGUAACAUCUGGCACAUCCUCAGGAUCAAUUUGUGCUAAUUGCAAAUACAUUGAAGUGGCUGUACUGGUAGCUAUAUGGGUUAUCAUUGAAAAUGUGGCUUGCAGAAAUGUGAACAGGGUUGCACUUUACAAUAUGAAAUAGUAAAUAAAAAUCCUAAGGUUAAUGCAGUAGAUAUGAUUAAUAACCUAAAUAUAUAAAAAAGACAGUUCUUCAGUCGUCUUCUGGCCUGGUCCCAGGUUCGAGAGACAUAGAAUAAGCGUCGUAUGAUGACAAUGGGCAUUUCAUUUUCUCCAUUAUCAGGAUGAAAUGAGUCUGGCUUUAUCAGGUUAGACAUCAUGUGGUACUUUUGGCUUUCUGUUCCUGCUGGAUGUUUGAGUACCUUGUUGUUGCUCUUUCAGACGUUGUGUGUUAAUCAGUGAUUGUGUGUGUGUACAUUGGAUCCUGGCGCUGGCUCGCCGGAGAUGUCAUCUACCCGUGUGUGUUUAUUUGCUCUAGUUCCGGGCGCUGGCUCGCCGGAGAUGUCGUCUGCUUGAUCCGACGCCUGAGAUGGUCCGAUUGGGCUGGUCUUAACCCUGCUGGCAUGAAUCCACUGAGGUUGUCCGUCUGUGAGGAUGCUGGUUCUUCGUCACUGCCAGUACAGUCUGGGGGCUGGAACACGCGCGGCCUCCCAGAGAGUCCUUGGUUUUAGUGGCUUCUCCAACAUGCAUCUCCUUGUCUCCACUGGUGGAACUGUGGAGGGGAAAAGCUGAGAGAGACAAACUUUCUGAUAGUUAUUAUUCAGUUUUUCUAUCAGGUUGUGAACAUCAGUGGACAAUGCAAUAUACAUCACCUUCUACUAGCGGUGCCCCUCUGGAAGCUGACCAUGGUCUUGGAAAUAGUCUUAUUUCAAAUGGAAAUAAUUUGGUUACUUCAGAUUGAGUCAUUCUAAUCUCACACAGGACUUGAGUAAGUAAUUUGACACAGGUCAUUAAAGUUUUAGCACACUUUUGAAUUACUUCUAAUGUGAAUGAAGAUCCUCUAUCACUGUUAAUCUGGUGAGGUAUUCCGAAUCUGGGUAUUAUUUCAUUGCUCAACUUUUGACAGACUACUUCUGCAGUUUCUUUUGAGGUUGGAUAAGCUUCUACUCAUUUACUAAAUUGAUCCACUAUUACCAGUAAGUACUUGAUACUUCCUUGUGCUGGCAUAUGUGUAAAAUCAAUUUGUAAUGUAUGAAAUGGAAAAUCUGGUUGUGGUAAAUGCUGAUGUUUUGCUUUUGAGCUACCUACAUUAGUUCGCGCACAUGUUAGACAGGUUGCUAAUAUGCUUUUUACUGCAUGCAAUGUUUUCUCAAUUACAAAUCUUGAUUUUAUUGCCCCUAUUACCCCUCUUUGUCCGACAUGACUCACACAGUGAAAAUGUCGGGCAAGGACUGGCAUCAGGGAAUAUGGGAGGGCAAUCAAACCCUUAAGAUUUAGUAUAGGCCAUCUCUGUCAUCUAAGGUGCAGUCAUUAUUCUCCCAAUAGGUGUAAUCACAUGCAGAGGCUUGCUCUUGUAUGAAUUUUAAAUCAACAUUUGUUUCUAAAUAGUCUGGGAGUGUAACAAGUGGCAGCUGUAGGGGCACAGAUAAUACUUCCUGCGGAGGUGGGAGCUGUGAUGCAGCUGCAGCCUUGGCUGUCACGUCUGCUAAGGCAUUACCUGUUGCUUCGUCUGUGUCAGCUGUACUGUGUCCUGUCGUUUUUACAACUGCAACGGCCGAUGGCAGCUGUAUAGCCUGAAAAAGUCUUUGAACAAAAUCACAAUUUAGCAAUUUAUUUUCCAUCAGCAGAUCUAAAUCCUCUCUGUCUCCACAAUGUGCCAAAGUCAUGCACAACGCCAAAUGCAUAGCGGCUGUCUGUGUAAAUCGUCACAUGCUUAUCCAAAUGUAGCUCACAGGCGCGUAUUAAAGCCAUGAGCUCUGCUUUUUGUGCUGAGUGAAAUGGUAAUGAGUGAGCCUCUAGUAUGAUGUCAGGCACUGUUACCACUGAAUAGCCACAAAGAAAUGAGUUGUCACUCGGCCUUGAACAGGACCCGUCCACAUAAACCGUGGCUGAGUCUGGGAUAGGUGUUUGCUCUAAAUCUGGACGUGGUGCUGUGGAUUCCUGUAUACGUGUCAUGCAGUCAUGAUCGUCAAGCCUGUCUGAGCCAUCCUGUCGGUCAGAAGAACACAGCAUAGGAUCAAUAAAUGUGCUGGCGAAUCAGGUGUGCUGCUCGCUUUUAUAGUGAGAUUUGCAUAUGUUGUUUAGUUAUGUUUGCUACAAUGGUCGUGACCUGGUGAUUGGUGUGUAGAAUAGUGUCAUGUGAGAGUGUGAGCUUCUCGCAGUCCCUUAUCAUGAUAGAGCAAGCUGCUACUGCCCUCAGGCAGGCCGGCAUUCCUGAACAACCACGGACAGCACCUUUGAGUGGCGGAGGUCGGCACUCCCUUUAAUGCAUUGAAAGAGGCAGUCAUUUCUGUGGACCACAGUAUUCGAGGAGGCUUGUCUUUUUUUUUUUUUUACAACAGUCACGCAGAAUGUGGUCAUGAAAAGAACAGUCUGGUAUCCACUGUCUGCAAUAGUUCACCAUGCUCAGGAAGGACAACAUUUCCUUCUGUGUAGUGGGACGAGGGACGGAGGUCACAGCUUUGACCCUGUCUGCAGUCAUGGAACGUUUUCCGUGAGACAGUGUGAAUCCCAAAUAUUGAACACAAGUCUGACAGUACUGCAUUUUCUUUGCAGAUGCUUUGUGGCCAGUCUUUUGGAGGUGCUGGAGAAGCAUGUGUGUAGCAGUUUGACAUAGUUUUUCACUUUCAGCACAGAGGAGGAGGUCAUCCACAUGUGGAUCAGAGUACAGCCCUCAGGAGGAGUGAAGCACCAUUGAGAAAGCAGCAGAGCUGUCUAUCAUGCCUUGAGGCAGACGAGUGCAAGUGUACUGCUUAUUUCUAUGUGUGAAUGCAAAUAACGGCUGUGUGUCACAGGUACUGAGAAAAAGGAGCGGAGCAUAAAUCCACCACGGUAAAAUGUGUAUGCAAUGCAUGUCAAUAUGUUGUGAACAUCUGAAACGAGAGGUGGCAGAGGAAUGUUGACUGCAUUAAUUUGCCUUAAGUCUUGUAUGAAACGCCAUACGCCAGGUUUGUUAGGCUUUGGCACAGGAUUGACAGGAGUGUGGGCUUUAUUGCUCCUGUAGUCAAUAAAUCUCCUAUGAUGACAUCUAGAGCUGCGGCUUUUUCCGUGGAAAUGGGACAUUGCCUGACAUAUACUCGCUUUUUGUUUUUUUUUUUUUAGCUGUGCGUGAUAAGGUAUGCAGUCAAUAAAUCCUAUAUCAUUCUCACUUUUAGACCAUAAUGUCAUAUUCUGGUAUGCAGCUGGCAAUGUAACUGCAGAAAUAGUACAGUGGAUAGGGUAGGUUAGAUCUAUGUGACGACAUAUUUCGUAACCUAUGUCUGAGUUAUGUAACAAAAUCACUGUUUGACCUUCACUUGUGUGAGCAGUUAUCAUGUUGUUGAACAGUGUGAGAGAAACAAAAGUGUGGCUCCCAGUCAUGGGAUUACCUGUUAGUGGCGUCUGUACACGUUUUUUUUUUGGCACAGUGUGUGACAUAGAGUACCGGACAAAAAGGAUGUUGAGUUCAUUCUCUGCUGAGGGUCCAGCUGACACAGAGGAUGUUCCUUCUCCAUCAUGUCGGUACAUAGGGCAGAGAAAACAUAAGCUGUUAUCAGUGUCAGCAAACAUUUCACCCUUUAUGUUAAAUGAAAUACACAAAUUUAUUUUUGCCUUGGGUGUCUGCGGCUGCUGGAAAACUGAGCUGAAUUUGCACCUCUAGCUUGUCCAACAGUGCAUAAAGCGUUUUACGAAUACUAGGAUAGAUUCAUCAGGCUUCUGUUUACACAUAGUUACUGCAUUUAAGUCAAUUUUGUCUCUGGACAUUGUUAGCAGGAAUUUCUUUAGAUUCUUAAAGAAAUCGGCGACUUUGUCAUUAUUUACCCUCCUUUUGUCCAUAGCGGUAACAUUUGAUGCAUCACGUCGCGGCAUUCUGUCAUAUAUUUUCUACAGGACUUUUUAAGCAGACUACUUUUCUUAUCACAAAUGAUAUUCAACAUUUCUACUGACCUGUUUUCUGGCGAUAAUCGUUCGGGAUAAGGCUCCGGAAAGAAAUUAGAAUGCAUUGAACUUCUUAAGUUGUAAACAAAGUCAGUCACAUAAGCACUCCCGCAUGUUCUGGAUACGUGAUCAUGGACGUCUUCACCGAUUCGCGGACGUAGGUUACACGUAACCGGAAAUGGGAGUUAUACUGAGCCGUUAUUUGAGACUUUAUUUUGUAUUUUAUUAAUUUUUGGUUUUAUAGGUACUUUAGAUUUUUUAUCGGACCUGUCUGUGGUCUUUGAAUUAUUCUGACCCAUGUUCAGUGAUUUCCAGAGGGGUUUACACGCUAGGAGGAUUUAGGUUAGUAUUUUCGCUGCGGCACAGCUGAGGUUACUUUAAAUUUAUUGCUAGCAAUUUUUUUUGUUUGUGUGAGCAACUCUCACUUAGCGAGCAACUUCUCGCUUAACGAGCAACUUCUCGUAAAACAACAGGCAACUUCCUGUGUCUUUCUGCUUUUAAUUUACUGCUUUUAACCCUUGUAUGGUAAUCGGGUCUGUGAGACCCGUUUUCAGUUUUCUUUCGUUUUUUUUUUUUUUUAACAAAAUUAAAUUUAAUUAUUUACUAGCUUUCUGUGAGUGAGCAACUUCUCACUUUUUAACGUACGUUUCAAGAUAACAGGCAACUUCCUGUGUCCACCAACACCACACAAGGGUUAAUUUACUUUAUUCGGGGACUGAGGAAGUCAGUCAGUGUAUCUCUCUGGAUCACUAAGUGAAACUUCGUCAGCAUAUCCCGUUUUUUUAUGGAUUCGGGGACUGAGGAAGUCAGUCAGUGUAUCUCUCUGGAUCACUAAGUGAAACUUCGUCAGCAUAUCCCGUUUUUUUAUGGAUCAAUCACUGAGAGAGGUAUAAUAUGGUCUCUAUAUAAAUAUGAAAGACGCAUAUUUACCUUCUGUCAGGGAUCCCACUUCUGACACCAAAAUUGAAGGAAAUUGCCAUCCCGGGUUUCCUCCGUGGCGUGAGCGAUAAGCAGAGUUUUGUCCUUUCCUUCUAAGAUUCCUAAUUAUUUAAAGUAACACUCAGGUAUGCCGUUCAGCUGGGUUAGUUACAGCGCCGGGAGCAGCUUGGGAGAACAAGGAAACACAGACUGCUUCAGGUUGCCUUCCCAAAUCAACUCAAAGGUUUAUUUGAUACACAGCAGUUUAUAUAGAUGAAAAAAGGUUCGUGUGUCAGCUUUCCCAGUUCAAACCGGUACAGACCAAAUAAGGAAACGUCUUCCUGCCUUGUGAACAAAGAAGUAUCCUGUGUGUAGUUUAUCAGCUCAGCUACAAUUUAUGAUCAUCCCAGCAAAAUACACUCCUAGACAUAAAAUACAGAGUUCUUUCAUUAGUGAAUUCUGAAACGAACCACCUAGCCUUUAACGAGCCUUUUCCAGGAGAUAAGGAAAAGGGAGGAUGGGAGUAAAGAAGUGGUCUCAUCUCUGUGGUGUUUUCGACCUUGAGGUACCAGCUUGUGAGUCUCACAUUAAUUCUUGGGUCACAGAGAAAGAGAAAAACAACUAGUAGAUCGGCCUUAUUGAGCAACUCUUUUCUGUAUAAAACAAUCUUCUGUAAAUGCUAACCGUGGUACUAAAAUACCUAACAAUUUGUCUUACUGCUCUGAGCUUUGUGAAAGUCCAGGAUCCUGGACUCUGUGGUGAAGCGCUGACAGUUGCUCUGUCUACAGUGACUUACACAAAAAUUACACUGUGCAAAGCAGCAAAAUAUAACACAUCUCUCAGAAACAUUUACAUUUGAUCAGCAGAGAAGUCAAGAAUGAGUAUGUUUAGUUACUUACAUCUCCACCUGUGCGUCCCCUUGUCCGUCAACUGGACACACAGGAACUCCCUAAGCUCUUUCUUCUUCGCAGGACGCCUGUC
ensembl:lncRNA